rnacentral:rRNA from 1 species
UGGGGAAUAUUGCACAAUGGGCGCAAGCCUGAUGCAGCCAUGCCGCGUGUGUGAAGAAGGCCUUCGGGUUGUAAAGCACUUUCAGCGGGGAGGAAGGCGGUGAGGUUAAUAACCUCAUCGAUUGACGUUACCCGCAGAAGAAGCACCGGCUAACUCCGUGCCAGCAGCCGCGGUAAUACGGAGGGUGCAAGCGUUAAUCGGAAUUACUGGGCGGAAAGCGCACGCAGGCGGUCUGUCAAGUCGGAUGUGAAAUCCCCGGGCUCAACCUGGGAACUGCAUUCGAAACUGGCAGGCUAGAGUCUUGUAGAGGGGGGUAGAAUUCAAGGUGUAGCGGUGAAAUGCGUAGAGAUCUGGAGGAAUACCGGUGGCGAAGGCGGACCCCUGGACAAAGACUGACGCUCAGGUGCGAAAGCGUGGGGAGCAAACAGG